CUGGAGGGGUCUGGAGGAAAUUUAUCCAUUGGAGAGGUCUGGUUGACACUGUUGAAGUCCGAUUGGCGCUGUUGAAGGUUGAUGGUUGGAGAGGUAAGGAAGACACUGGAGACAGUCGGUCACUGUAGAAAUCCGACUGCUGGAGCCCGUCCGUUGUAGAAGUUCGUCUGGAAUCCAUCCGCUGUAGAAGUUCGGAUGGAGUCCGAUUCU
rnacentral:lncRNA from 1 species